GAGAGAUUGGCCGAGUGGUUCAAGGCGGUAGAUUUAAGUUUACACACCCCGAAAGCUUGAAAUCCUCUACUUUCCGAAAGGAAGCGUGGGUUCGAACCCCACAUCUCUCA
rnacentral:tRNA from 1 species